rnacentral:lncRNA from 1 species
UUUUUUUUUUUUUUUUUUUUUUUGUCGACGGAGUGGGUGUCCGGGUCAAGUCCGUAAAGGCGGCCCGACUAAUCCCACUUCGGCCCGGCCCAGCGCCCCAACCAGACCUAGCACGUUAGAUGCACGGAGAAGCCGAUGUUGCUGCGGAGGUUCGACCCCAGGACCUGACGGUCCCGAGGAAGAGGCGCCAACCACCAGACGGACCUGACGGUCCCAGCUCUAACUUCUAGUUGAAUGUCAAACUUUGUGUUUCCAUUUAGUAUUGGGAUCCCAGAAAGGCUUUGAUUUCAGAGGAGGCCAAACAUGCUGCCGAAAGCCCCACUUUGAAUAUCAUGUGGAAGUUGGAAUUCAACUACUACUACAACUAAAAUGGAUCACCUUUUGGGACAAAUGAGAUUAGUUUAGCUUUCACAUUAGGAUACUUCUGCAGUCGUAGAAAAUUCAUGUUCAAUUAUCUUUGGUCCACCAAACCUGUAGCAAAUCGCUUGCUAAUCUAUUAAUAAAAGAACCAGUCAACUGCUUUGUAUAUGAGUAGGUUUAACCACGACUGCAGGAACCAAUACCUAAAUGACCUACUAUGUUGGUUGAGAUGCAAAUACGAAGUAUAGACUCAUGCAUGCAGGACAUGGAGCUUCUUUUUUCGGAGAACCUACUUUAAUUUGGGUAUUAAUGCAGUAUAUUCGAGUGAAACUGAAUUCAAUUGAUUAGUCAUUGCAUUUACCAUAAUGUUUUGGAAUAUGGGUCGCAAAAUCAUUUGAGAUUUGUGCUAACCAUUUCAGGAAAAAGAAAAACAAAAUGAUACCCUGGUUAACUUGAAGCUGAAAAGUUGAGAUGCCAUCUAAGUUUGGGGAAUUGGGAGUUGAAGUUCAAAAACUCUAUCGACUUUUUUAUGCAAACAAAUUAUUAUUAGUAGUAUAACUUCGUGGUUUCUUAUUUAGUGCAUCCAAAACAGAAGUAAAAAUUUUGCUGGAAAACGAACCUAUAGGCUGUAACUGAAGUCGUUUGGUAAAUUUUUCAUAUUAUGCACAAAAGUAGAGGCAAUUCUUGAGUCCUACGUAAUUUUACGAGGGAACUGCUGAGUGUUGACUACAACAGGUGCUGUCUUAUUUUGUGGGCUUUCGAAUUUCGAUGCGGGUUAUACUCUGUAAUAUUUGGAGUUAAAUGCGGACCAGAGCUGGCGAAAAUUAAAACUCACGCCUACCAAUGCAUUACGAAUUUUGGCCAUGACAAUUUAUGGACGCUCAGCGUUUAAGUCAAACGCGAAUGUGUGUAACUGAUGAAAGAAAUUUGUGUCAAAUUUUUUGAAAAUAUCGAAAAUUAUUUUCAAGAGAAAUUAUAAUAGUAAACAUACAGAAAAUUCACUAAAAUAAAAUGUAAAAAUAAAUAAUUAUUUGGUAGUAAUUCAUAAUCACAAUUGAUAAUUGCUAAUAAAAGUUAAGGUAUAUUAAAUAAGUUGAAAAAUAAAAUAAUAAGAAAUACAUAUUAAUUGGAGGAAAGAUAUAUUGAAACUUGGGAGUGGAUAGUUUUCAAGGGUAAUUUAGAAAGAACAUAAAAUGACACAAAGAAGUUUAUACUAACCCCCUCCUUUCUCUUUGUACAUAAAAUAGAUGAUGGGAAGGUUUGUAAAAGUAAUAUAUAAAAAGAAAGUGAAUAUUGUGCCUCACUCAUCAAAUUGACUGCCUCUUUUCCUCGAAGAACAUAGGGGAAACACAUGGAAUUUACACCUACAAAUAAAGAUAUGAUGAAAUUACCAAAAAAAAAAAAGUGAGUUUGAAGUAAAUAAAGUUGUAAACUACAGGAAGUGACAUGUUAAACUCUUUCGAGUGGUAACACAAUAAUAUGUUGAUAGUAGAAUGGUCCCUCCAAAAAGGGAAAAAGGUCGAAUGGUUGGUUGAUAUAUUUCCCACUAGGUGGGUGCUAAAUAAUUGUUAACAUGUACUAAAGGUAGCUGAUUAGAAGGGGAAGGGCAUCAAAGGGCGUUCCCUAGUUAGACCAUGUAAACUUGGAUUGAGAUUGAGAACCGAAAUGUUUCGUUGUUUCGAGUUACAUGUAAUUGAUAUAGCACUGAGGGAAGUAGCGCAACAGAUCUUCUGUUUCACUCUAUGUUCUCAAGAUUCAAUCACUAUUAAUCGAGUAAAAAAGAAUUAAAAAUAUGAUGUUUAUGAAGGAAAAAUAUCAAUAUAAUAAAAAGUGAGAUAGAAAGUGACAUAAGUGAGACAAAAGAUCUAUUGUAGUUAAAGGGUGUAAGUGAGAAGUAUUGAAUUCGAUCAUUUCUAUUUACGCCUAAAAAUUUUUUAAAAAAUUUAAAAAGUUUAAAAAAUUGACAUAGUAUUAGUUUUAGCUUUCGAAUUGCGACAAGUACAUAACUUCAAUUAACCAUUGUCCAAAACAACUAAGCUGGUGUUGUUCGGUAAAACAAAUCGAAGUGUAACUACUCACGUAGUUGCAUUAUUACACCAUUGCUAGUUACAAAAUAUAAAUAGUGUUUUGAUAAGAAAUUAGUUGAAAUAAUUAUUGUAAUAUUUUUUAUGAUAUGAUGUAUGUGAGAUAAAAAGAUAAUUAAAAAAAUAAAAAAAAAACAUGUUAAAAAUUGUGUUUCUGAUGCAAAUAAACAACUUUUUGCGAGAUCUAAUCUACUUGCAUGGACAAGCAAAUAAAAUGUAAUUGUACAAACAAUUUCUCGUGUUAUGAUAAAAACAUAAUAAUAAUUGAAGACAUUUGUUGGAUUCUCCUAUCUUCACCGGUAUGCAAAUGUGGGCCACAACACUAGAAUCUAGAAUUCCAUCCAAAUCCAACAAAAAUGUUGGCCUAACUCUUUCCACAAGUCUCCACUCUCCAUGUCAAGGACAGUCUACCCUCUCACGAGAAUAUUUAUUCAGAUAAAGGACAUGCCAAUUACAACUUAAAUAGAAGGCCUGUCAAAACUAAAUGAAUGUUAGCCCUCACCAACAAAAUCAAUUUGACUUUUAUCCCCAAAACUGAGAAAACAUAGCCCAACACGAGAAUUUUUUAAGCACAUACAUGUGGGAUUUUUUGAAGCACUUGCUAUUACGCUUAAAUUAUUAUAUGAAUGCUCCUUUUCUCUCAAAUUGCAAAACAACGUUUCUAUAAUUUGUUCAAGUUCAAAAAUCAUAACCUGUGAAAUGGGAUUGCUAUUUUUAGGAGUUUUUUUAAUAAAAAAAUGUAAUGUAAAAAUUUGAUGUAUAUGAGGUAAAAAAAAAUAAUAAAAAAUAUAUUCACAGAAAACAUAAUUUUUUUUUUACUAAAAAUCACAAUCCAAACAAGGCCAACAGAAUGGUUAAAUUCUGUUUAUUUCUACUACAUAGUUGAUCCAUGAUUGUAUUAGUAUCUACCUAUUAUAUAAGAAAAAAGCCAAGUUACUAUAGCACCCCAUCUUUUUGACACAUGUAUUGCAUAUAUUUUUGACAAGUGGAUUCUUGGUCAUUUUAGCUAAACUUUUCCUUCCCCUUUUUGAUUCAAUUGGGCCAAAAUAAUUAAAAUGUUUUUUCUCUGAGCCAAGUUACUAUAGCACCCCAUCUUUUUUACACAUGUAUUGCACAUAUUUUUGACAAGUGGAUUCUUGGUCAUUUUAGCUAAAUUUUUCCUUCCCUUUUUUGAUUCAAUUGGGCCAAAAUAAUUAAAAUAUUUUUUCUCCUUCAGAAAAUCAACUAUGUCGCUUCUUCUUCUUCUUGCGGUAAGUGCUAUUAUUUUUUAUUUUUUAAAACUAAUCUAACUAAAAUUGUUGCCAUGUUCUUUUUUUUUCGUCGAGAUGAUUAGCUACUUAACAAAGAGAAGUUUUUAUUAUUUUUUUAUCCCAUUUUACAUUUUCUUUUCUUCCUUUUUUUUCUUCAUGUCUAAUCUCUCAUAUUUGCUCUAUUCUUCGAUCAUAAUGUUAUAGUCAACUGGCAUUUGUUUGUUAAAUUUAUAGGAUGAUGCUAUUAUUUGGUAAUUUUCAUGGAUAAAAGGUGAAAUAUUAAAAUAUGUAAAAAGAUCUUAAAAUUCAUUUUAUACCAAUGAUCAUUUUCUAUGAAGAAUAGAACAAUAAUUCUUUCUUUUCUUAUCUCCUCCCACGAUUUGAUUUCUUACUUCACAUUUUUUUUUCUUUUUCUUUGUUUUUUGGUUACAUUUUGUAAUUAUCUACAAUUUUGUGUAUUUUUUAAAGAGAAAAGAUAUAUCAUGUGAUGCUUCCACCAAGAUAAAUCUAGUUAGGCAUUCUUCUACUUCUGUAUUCUAUAAGAUUUUGUAUAUAUUUAAACUAACGUUAAUUUUUAUUUUUUUUAAUUAUUCAGGUUAUGUAGUAUCAAUUGGGUUGGCAUAUAAAAAUUGUAGUUGGUGGUAGAAGUCAAAAUUAAAAAUUAUUAGAAAAUUCAAUUUUGAUUAGGAAGAUGUUUUUGCAAUAAAAAAAAUGGUUCAAUUCUAAUUUGUAUAUGUAGAUCUGGAAACGUAGCAAUUCAUAUUUUUUAUCUAACCUUGCUAUUUAUAUUCUGGAGCUGCAGGAUAAUGUUGUCACCUUUAAACGGGAUUUAAAUAAAUAAAGAAAGAAAAAUGUGAAACUUUAAAGUAAGUUAUAUUGAUGUUGAAGAUUGUGACAUGUCUUAGUGGCUUUCUAAACUUUUUCUCAUUAUUAAAAAACUGGAAGCAUUAUGAUUGCUUUUGAUUUAGUUACAACUAAGACUAUGCUGCUAAUUAAUACAGCAAUGCACUUGUAGUGUAUUGAUUUUCUCUUUUUUUUGGGUAUUAUCAUAAUAAUAGUUCAAAAAUCUUUAUUCAAAUCACAAUAAAUAGGGGUAUUAACUUCAUAGAUGGAAUUUCUCUUCACAACAAAUUUUGAGGGAAAUUUUAUUUAUACUCCAUAUUUUAUUAAUUGUAUUCCUACAAUAAAUAAAAACUAUAUGAUAAAAAUAAUAGUGAAAAUAUGAUUAACAAAAAUGAGAGUUCAAAUAACAUUUGUUAAUUUUAAUUGUUUUGAGGUCCAAUUUUCUCCUAUAUUUCUAUUGAUUUAUCAUGUGCCAAAAUAAUUUGAUGUUAUGUGCUUGAUUAUAUUUCUAGGGGCCAAGCUAUGCUUUGCAAGUACCUCUAGUGUACUAACUAAAAAGGUGGCCAAUUACACGACAGCUGCAGUGGGUUUGCUUCUCACAUUAUCACACGACAGCUGCAGGCUGCAGAAUGUGCAUACUCUUGCAUGGAUUAUAUGUGACAGCCCCACCUCACCCUAAGGCGAAACAAAGGGUUCAGCGGACCGCCUGCCCAGCUCUCGCCAGGAUUACGGAGUCGAAUCACACAAAUCCGAUAUUACGCGAGAGGACCCAAAAUAAAUGAGCGAUUGAAGACCGCCAAGCUUAAACAUGGGGAAAACGCUUUCAUAUAUACAUGUCACUAGGUUUACAAUUCAAAUGGAACCAGUGAAACGAAAUACAUUUAGGGUUUGCUCAUUCUCGAGGAGCUAUACAAAAGAACAAAAGAUUUUCUAACUAGCUCAACUCGCUUCUCAAAAUCAUGAUUUCCAAAAGAGGUUCCAGUAAGGAAAACAAAGAUAACGAGGAGGGGGUGAGCUUACGCCCAAUGAGGUACCAAACAUAUAGCAGAAAAAUCAGGUAUUUCACGUUAUACAAACCAGAUACACAUGCUCGCUAUAAAGUAAGACAGGUAAACACAAGAACUCAAAUAGGAAGGAUACAGGUGGCUCUCAGGAGCCAGCUUUCCAGCGUAGUACUUGAUCCAAGCCGGUCGACUCUCCAUCAACGUAUAUAGAACCAACACGUCCGUAGACCCCACUUUACACCAAAUUCCGUCCACCAAACACCCCUUUACCGGGCCCGCUCACCUCAACAGAAACAGAAAGGGUAAUACUCGAGUAUACCGGAAUCAAGAGUCUCAAUACCCAAAGAUCCCAAAACAGACUACCGUGGUUCGUUAUCUAAUCGUCCAGGCCCUUGCCGGCCCGACUCGAAUAACUUAGCCACAGGAUUUGAGCUCAUAAGUCACAGAAAGGUCGUUGGUUACAAGUUUCCAAACGACGUCCGAACAGAUACAGAUACAGAUACAGAUACAGAUAUCAGAUACACAGAUUCAGAUUGACACCAAAAUUGGCAUAUGAACAGACAAGAGAACGAGUGUGAUAAAGUACACCCUCGUCUCAAACAAAUUAAACAGAUUGCAGAGCAGAAAUCAAGUUAAACAGCAAUGGAGGGGAGUGGUACACUCACCGGUUCAAGUACAAAUACCUCAAAAGUUUUCACUUCGGAUUGGCUUUAAUCGCCAAGAAACCCUAAAAUAAUCAAAAUAAACCAAUUGAAGGUUUCACAUCCAGAAUCGAGUAAACAAAAUACACAUGUGAGGCUCGACUACUAGUCGUAUGCCUCGCCAAAUAAUUACUAAUGCAAGGGUACAAAACAUGAUUUUUGGGAAUAAAAAGGUAACAUGAAGACCUAGGUUCAACAACCCAAAAGUCCUUCAUUUCUAUCACAAGCCAAUUCAAACUUAAAGGAACCAAUUGGCCUAGAAAAAAUUGGACAGCACUUCCCCUAAAUUUCUUACUUUUCCAGCCAUCACGGCUUCAUUAUUUUCCUCAAUCAACUCCCAAAGUCAUACUCAAUAUACACUCAUCACCACAGCCGUUCAAUAGGCUCAAGGUUAUCCAAGUACAAAAGUUAGUUAGGAAAAUGACCGGAAAUAAAAGUCAAGCCCUAGAAUAUUCCACUAAGCACAAGAAGACUCGAUUACAAGUCAUAAACCGAUGCCAACACGAUCACAAUAGGGUUCCAUAAGCAUAUAUAAGCAUUAGAGGAAACCAGAAAUUUCGGAAAUGUAACUAGCUUUGGCCCUGAAAAAUAGUUUUUGUCCUCAUUUUGCGGUAAUGGCACAAAUUUCACUACGCUUAUCGGAUGAGGGUGCAAGACCCACCAUCUCGAAGCUAAAAGACAGGGCUACAACAUCACAGAAGGUCACUCAACCCAGUUUUGAGUGCAAACAGGUCAAAAAUGCAAGAUACUACAUCAACAACGUAAAACAGAUUCACCAAAACGCAUUCUAGUGGAAACAUCAUAACUCAGGCUCUACAAGUCCAAAUCCAGAAAUUCCAAAACCAUCUGAAAGCUAAGCAACAGGGAUAAAUUUCAUCAGAAGGUCUCAACAACCAAUUCGGAAGCAAUUCCAGGAAAAACAACCAAUUACAGGCGCAGUUCUCAAUUUCGGGUAAAACCAGAACAGCAAUAGUAAUUUCGACUUAUCUCAUUCUACUCUACUCCGAUUGACCUGAAAUUUUGUAGGAACCUCUAAAAUGUCAUUCCCUACAACUUUCAUGUUUUGAGCUAAGGCCAAUUCGGCCUCUAUCUAGGACCUAAAAAUUCGGACAGAAUGCUCCCACAAGAACCCUAAUUUUCUGAAAUUUCUUCCAAAACAGAAAUUGAUUGCAAUUGUCCACUUUUUUCACCUUCUAGAAUCAUUAUAUACCAUUUCCAAUCAUCAUAGAUAGCCACACAAUCAUGCUUAUAUUAAAACAGAAAAAUCCCCAAAAAUAAUAAAACUUCAUCAUUUCAACCACAAAUCAAAAAUUAAUCCAUAAACUUGCAUCUUAUACUACCACUAAGCAUGAUUUAAGCAUCAAUUAAAGGAGGAGGGUGGUUCUUCACAACUUACCUUAGAAACAAGAGAGAGAGAGCUAUUGGUCACCUUAACUUUCCAAAAAACUUCACACAACAACUCACCAACACUUCCUUAAGUGGUUUUAUGGAGCAAAAUCAAGGUUGGAUGGUUGGUUUUGGUGAUUUGGAACAAGAUUGAAGUGUUUUCUUCCUUGUGCUUGGAGUAAGAGAGAGAGAGAAAGAGAGCAAGAGAGGGCCGACUUCAAGGAGGAUUUUUUUGAGGAUUUUUGGGUCAAUUUUGGUUAUUUAAGUCAAUGGUAAGAAAGGUUUUAAGGUAAGCCCAAUCAAAUGGUGACACUUGUCACCUUUUAUUAACUCUCUACCUAACUUGUCUCUCUCAUAUCAAUCCAAAUUGCACCCUCCACUUAUCUCUUAACACCCGGUAAAUUCAUUCAAGUAUUCAAAACUUAAUCUAGUUGGCCGAAUUUUUCCGAACUUUUCGCACUAGUGGGUCCCACGUCCGAUAUACGCUUUUAAUUCCUCAAAAGCUAACCGAUACUAGAAAAAUCAUUUAAAAGCUAUAUUUACUCAUAAAAUUUAUUUGCACAAUGUUUCGAAUAAAGAAAAGGUGGAAAAACGUAUAAUUAAAAGAAAUUAAAACCUAGAAAUUAAGAAAAUUACGGGUCCUUACACUAUAUGCUUUGCAUGGACGGAAUAUAUAUAUAGUCUUAUUCUAUGACGGAAAAUCUAUGAAUUUCUGACCUGUACGAUAAGCAAAUGUGCGACACAGCACUAGAAUUUCAGCCAACAAAUGUCAUUCAGAUGAAGGACAUUCCACCAUACGAGUUUCAACCGCAUGUUUAUACCAUCAAAAUUCGAUCCACAACUUUACUGAUGCAGUGCAUGAUCGAGUGUACGAGUAUCCUUAUCUUAUGUAGCUGUAUGGCCUGCUUCACCAUGGUUUCAAUACAAAUUUCUAGUAAAUUACACGCCAAUACGAUCAUAAUUGGAUGGUAGUGUAAUAUCUACUAUAUGGUUAUCAUUUGAUGAUAGUCGGUUCAGAUUUCUAUCAUAUUCUUUUGGACUAUUAAUCUAUGAUUAAAUUUUAUAUACAUUAAACUGACAAUAUUUACACUAUCAUAAUUAGAUGUAUGAUACAUAUAUGCAAAAUUUGAAUUAUAUGUCAUGCAUCAUGUGGUGAAAUUGUAUACACUGUCAGUCUAUAGAAGAUUAAUCCUUAAUUUAUUACGAACAUUUUUCUUAAAAUUUUUGGUUGGUAAAAGUCAUUACUUACACAAAAUUUGACCAAGGGAUCUCGAGACUUCUUAGUUGCAGUUACAACCACAAAGUACAAGAGCUUGUUUAAAUUGUUAUUUUUUGAAAUUUUUAUAGAAAAAUAUAAUAUUAUAACAAUUUGAUGUAUGUAAAGUAAAAUGACAAGUAUUUAAAAAAUAUGUUUAUGAAAAGUGUAAAACUGAAAAAUGCUAAUUCAAACGAGGCUAUUGAGCUAAAAUGAUGAUAAAGACGGUAAGCUUGUCUACCAUCACAAUUUUAGCACAUAGAGGUUAGAAGAGUUGGUGCAUAUAGUCCUUGCAACCCUAAUUAGGUGGGUAAAUCAAGACCUAGGCUGCGGUUUUGGUUAGGUCAAAAUUAACACAACCAUUGACCUCCUGAAAUUAAUUGCUUUUUGAGGAUUUGAUGAACUAAUAUUAAGUUUGCAACGAAACCUGUUUCAGUCAUUCGUUGAUCCCAGCUGCCCCCACCAGACCUCCACUUUCCCAUCCACACUUCCCCUACCAAUAGGAUUACACCUUUCCUUUCACGAGCUCAUUCUGCUGCUCUCAGCAUUCAUUCUUUCAUCCCGUGAAUCGCGACGCAUAAAGAAAUAUCAUGACCGUCAGUUUCGGUGACUGAAGAAAGGAAAGGAAAGAGAAGUUUAAUCCGAACGGUGGAUGGGCGGCGGCUACAAAGUUUUACCCGUGAAACCACCACCACGAGAUCUCCGCCCCCUCUCAUAAAGAAUCACAGGAGCAGAGACGCGGCUUUCCAGCCUGGACUCCUUUCAAUUUAUUCCAUCGCUGUCACCUAUCUCGAUCAAUCCAUGGUCCCACCUUGGCUUUCAAAAUUGCAUACAACCCGGUAUACGUCUAGGCCCUGUAAAUACCUAAGCUACCCUUUCACGAAUUUUUAAAAUUUUUUUCUUUUCUUUUAAUUAUUUAAACUUUUUUUUUUUAUGCUUCAAAAGGAUUGUGGGUUAGUAGGAAGUAAAUCAUCCAAAAACUCUCACCGUACUAAGAAAGCAAAAUAUUAUCCGAAAAUGUUCAAAAUUUAGGUGUUGUUUAAAGAUUGGUUCUUGAUAAUUGCAAUUAUCUUCCAUUCUUAUCCAUUAACCAAAAUGUUAAUGGAACUUUCGUACUACAAUGUCUUAACAAAAAUAUUUCUUAUCUAAAUUUGUAACUGACUACUUGGUCACGCUAGCUACAUCAAUAAAGAUUUUCACCAAAUUCUCACAAUCAAAUGCUCGUAUGAAUGCCAAAGGUCUUUAUUAUUUUGUUAGAUAGGACGAGCUACUCAUAUAUUGACCAUGUAAAUGUAUUGAUCAUGUAACUGAAUGUUAUUCCUUAUAUAACAUUUGUUAUGAGGCAAGGUUUUAGGCCCCUCUUCUAUUUAAUAAAUUAAUUAAUGGUUACCAUCCUUAUUUCAUGUAUGACAUUUUAUCAAAUAAAAAAAAACUUAUAUUUUAUUUCUCAACUUUUGUUCCUUUGGCUUCUAUAUCAGAUUAAAUAUUGGAUGUAACGCAAUUCUCUUGGAUACUUUUCGCCUAUUACUACUUCGGCUUCUACCUUUUGUUGAGCUUUUCACUAUUGGUUUCUAAUUAUCUUGUAUAAUACUUGUUCCACUUCUGCCAACAAAACUAAAAAAAGAAUGUCAACUAUUUGCAUAAAAAAUCAUAUCAAGUUUGUUUACUCUAUCCGCACUUUGUUUUGUACCGUAUUUGAAGCCAAAUGUGAUUGAAUUUUUAUUUUACUCCUGAUUUUUCUAUCAAAGAUAUGUUUAUAAUUCAUUUAACAAGCUCACAUGAGGUGGCAAAAUGACUUAAAAUGUUUAUUAAAUAAAUACAUAUACUAGCAUAAGAUUGAGGCAAAUGAUUUAUUCGAGAACCCUUUUAAAAAAAAAAAAAUUUUUUUUUCACAGCAAAUCUCUAGCAAAAUAACAAUUGUAUCCUUCAAUAUUCAAAAGUUGAAUGCACUUUGAAAAGAGUAAAAUUGUCAUUUCAAAGAAAUUAGCAAUGGCAUUAAAAACAUGGACUACGAUAUUAAAGCUAUCCUAAUUGACUGUCAUUAUAUGCUACAAUCAUUUUGUUGAUUGAUCUGCUAGUACAAGUAUUAGAGUAUCUAUAGUAGGAGAAUAAAUUCAUUCUCCACCUCAUUUACAAAUUCAAAAAAAAAAAAAAUCUAACCCGGGCUAAGAAGGUCAUUUCAUAUUGAUAUGUUUACUUUUCCAUUUAUUUUUUAUCCCCACACUUUCGUACUCGGACAGUUGGACUUCCAUACUCAUCCUCUUAUGACUUUAAUCUCUGAUCUCCCAUGACCACUCUCCCAAAACAGCCAAACUCCUCCAAUACCUCCUCUUCCCACCACCGCCAUCGCUCCCACAAUGCCACCUGACACCAGAACCACCGCACUCCUCCUCCUCACCAUCCUCCUCCUCCUCCUCAGCUCCCACACUCCCUCCACCGCAGACCUCCCGCAAUUUCGGGAAGCCCCAGCAUUCCGCAACGGCCAGCACUGCCCAAUCUCCACAUGGCCCUCCAACCCACACGACCCUUCCACCAUCCACGUCGCCAUGACACUUGACUACUCCACGCCAUACCUCCGUGGCUCCAUCGCCGCGGUCUUCUCAGUCCUCCAGCACUCCACCUGCCCAGAAAACACCUUCUUCCACUUCCUCACCACCACCCGCCACCGCCAUUUCCAAGGCCUCAACUCCACCAUCACCUCCACUUUCCCCUACCUCCGUUACCAUCUCUACCACUUCUCCCCCGCCUUAGUCAACCACCUCAUCUCCUCCUCCAUCCGCACCGCCCUCGACCAACCCUUGAAUUACGCCCGCAUUUACCUCGCCGACCUCCUUCCCUCCACCGUCAACCGCAUUAUAUACCUCGACUCUGACCUCAUCAUCAUCGAUGACAUCUCCAAGCUCUGGAAAAUCAAUCUCUCCGCGCAUAUUCUCGGCGCCCCCGAAUAUUGCCACGCAAAUUUCACCAACUAUUUCACUCCCAAAUUUUGGUCCAACAGAUAUGUCUCCAGCACUUUUAAUAACCGUGCCACAUGUUAUUUCAACACAGGGGUUAUGGUGAUGGAUUUAACGAAAUGGAGAACAAAUGGGUGCACGAGAAAACUGGAGCAUUGGAUGAGGAUUCAAAAGAAGUAUAGAAUUUAUGAGCUGGGCUCAUUGCCGCCGUUUUUGUUGGUUUUCGCCGGGAAUGUCGAGGGGGUUGAGCACAGAUGGAAUCAACAUGGACUCGGGGGGGAUAAUCUCGAAGGUUUGUGUAGAGAUUUGCAUCCGGGUCCCGUUAGUUUGCUGCAUUGGAGCGGAAAAGGGAAGCCGUGGUUGAGAUUGGACUCGAAGAAACCUUGUCCGUUGGAUAGCCUUUGGGCUCCGUACGAUUUGUUUAAACAUCGGCCAUUGAUCUCCGAUAGUUGAUGAUGCUGGUCGUAGGAGAUUGUUGCCCCGUGACCGUGAGUGAGUAAUUGGGAUGGAAACAGGUGAGGAGAGAAUGAAAAAGGAGAAAUGAGGACAGAACAGAUAGAUUUAUGGUGACGUGAGAGGAAGAAUACUUUUGGGGUUUUGGUGGAAUGUUGUGGCGGAGCUCUGGUGUGGUACUGUCGGUGGGUUUUUCUUGGCCGUCCGAUGUGAGAGAUCAGGACGGUAAGAUUUGGUGGUGGUGGUUUGGGAAUGAGGAUAUGAUGGGUGCAUUGUGAUGCUGGGUCCUAUUUUUUGGGAGUGGUUGGAUUCCAUGUUGCUAUCAGAGUUUGUUUUGUUUUCUUGGUGGCAGUGGAGGUGGAGGUGCUAAUUGAGUUUUUUUUUUUGUUUUUUUUUUUGUGUGUGUACAUGUUGUGCUACUUUUUAACCUACUACUACAACUACUACUUGUGGUUGGUUCUUUGAUUGUUUCUGAUGAUCAUAAUCAGAAUUGAGAGAAUUAUUCAUUAUUGAUUGAUGUUUGUGAUGGCGCAUUUCCCCUUUGCUUUCAUCCACUAGAGUGUCUGUUUGAUCUUAUCCUAGCAAGUAAAUAUGAUGAAAUUUGUUUUCUUGUGAAAGCAAUCAACGGAUAUGGGAAGGGACUACUGAUCAAUUGGCCAUUGGAUACCCCUUUGAAUAGCCUAAAAAUGAGCAAAUUCUAGUGGAGUUCAAUAGCAUCAGAAGACAUGUUAAAGGGACUGAAUCGAAACUCGAUAAAGCACUUAAUAAUGCUAUUGAUGAUCAUGAAAGUCUGGCAGCGCUCAGGUCAGGCAAGCUUUUAAUACGAUAUAUAUUUGUCGGCUACUGGCCGUGCAUAUUUCCAUGGUUUAUGAAGACCCAUCCAUUUUCGUGCCUGAUGCCUGCUGACUAGCAUCCGGAUUCCAGGGAAAAGGUGGAUUAACGAUUAAGAAGAGCUCGUCCGGAGUCAUGUUGAGUAACUUUCAACUUCAACUUUUUGAUUUUUUUUUUUAAAAAAAAAAAAAACUCACAGGUUACAAUAGAGGAGGGGAAUCCCAUUUUACUCUUAUAAUGCGGACUAGAGCGAAAAAACUUCCAUCACAUAGUGGAAAAAAUUUCACUAUUGUAACGGAAGUAUUGGGCUCGCUCAAAGCAGCUUUUAUUGGGUCAUUCACCCCGAUCUUGAAAUAAUAGUUGUGCAAUUAGGUCCCCUUGCCCAACAUAAAACGCUGUUCAAGUUUGAUUUGAAUAGUUGGCAAAUCAAGUUCAAAUCAGUUGUUACCAAAUCGAGCUCGAUUCGAACGUCGAAUAGCUUAGUUCAUCUUUCGAUCCUAAUCAUGAAUAUCUUUUAUUAGUUUAAGAGCUCCGGAAAAAGGAAUAGGGGAGGACUUGAGAGUCAAAUUAGGCUUCUUUUUAUGUUGCUGGACCUUGGAACAUUUAAUCAUAGAUAUCAUUGAGUGUGAGUAUGUGAUGGACGCGGGAAAGAGAAGCAAUAGACAUAAAAUUAGGCAAAGCCUUGUGAUGUUCCUCGGUCACAACUUUGGAUAUGGACUGGACUUCAUGAGAAAAUGUGUCGGGAUAAAAAAAUAACAUUCUUUUUUUUUUUUUUUUUUGGUCAAAAAGGCAACCUAACAUUAUUCCCCAUUCUCCUAUGCUUCCUUUUGCAUUGUGUGGACUCUUGGGCCAAAAACUUAUCAAGCCAUUCUGGUUUUCAGAUUGUUUCAGAGUCCAGGAGUGGAGCAGAAACCCAUACUGGGGAUAUUAACUGCGGCCAUCUGGCCCACUGAAUUGACCUACGUAUCAAUUGUGGCCUGUAUUGUUCACCUAUCCAUUGAUUCGACCUACGUGUCAAUUGUGGCCUGUAUUUUUUGUAUUUCCCUCCACAAAAAAUACCUGAAAUAACUGUCCCUUUUGAGAAAAUAAAUACAAAAAACAAAAUAAAAAAAAAAAAUCUAAGAAACGGACGACGCCAUGAAAGAAAGCAACAGAGCGCAGUCCUAGGCUAGCCUAAAAUUGCUGAAACAAAAUCUUCAAAACAUAACUCUGAUGAUUUCUUUUGUUUCCCAAGCAUAAUUUUAGGUACUAAAAUUCCUCAUAGAUCCUCGAAACAAUCAUGGCUACGGUUGCCACCAGUGGGGUUGGAUUAAGUGGAGCAAGACUCCAUGCUUUCAACUCCAGCAAACCAUUUUCUCCAUUUCUUGGGAAGAAGCUCAAGAUUAAACCAAUUUCUGAGUCAAUUCAUCCAACAAAGUUUAACCAUGCAAAAUCCAGGAAUCUUCUUGUUUUAGCAUCUGGGGUGGAUUUAAUGAGCUUUGUCAACGAUCUUUUUGUUGGGGUUGGAGUUGGACUUCCAUGUACGGUCAUGGCGUGUGGUGAUAUAAUUUAUAGAAGUACACUUCCAAGCUCAAAUGGUCUCACAGUUACAGUUCCUGGGACGAUUUUAGCACUGGGUGCUUUGUCUUAUUUGUGGGCUACUCCUGGUGUUGCCCCUGGUUUUUUUGAUAUGUUUGUGCUUGCAUUUGUUGAAAGACUGAUUAGACCUACCUAUCGGAAGGUUAGUUGAUUGUCUGGUGAAUUUUUGAUUUUGUAAAGUUUUGAGGAUAAAAUCUUGGAAUUUGGAUAAUUUGAUUUUGUUUUGUGGUGGCAGGAAGAUUUUGUGCUUGGGAAGAAAUUAGGUGAAGGGUCUUUUGGUGUGGUUUAUAGAGCUUCAUGGGCUAAAAAGCCCUCCCCAAAGGUAAAUAUUUGACAGGAACUUGCUAGUAUCAAAGUUUUGUUUAUUGUUUAUGUUAUUUCAGCCCUUUCGGAUUUUUUCCCCUUUAUGUGCUUUGCAUGUAUUAUAGGGAAUAUUGUUGAGGUUAUGCUGGUCCCUACUUGAACUUUGAUGGAAUAUUUUCUUCCAUUCUUUUGCUCAAAUGCUCAGACUUUAUAUAGAACCUAAUCACAUGUACAUGUAUCAAGUUUUUUCCAAACUUUCUUGUCAAUCUGGAAUGAAUGUGUUAUUAGGCCACAGUUUGCAUUAAUAUUAGCUGAUAAAGAUAUCUAGAAGGCAUGUUUGCUAAUUGUUAUUGGUAGCGAUCCUAAAAUAACAAUAGUUGCUAUUGGUUGUCACUCAAAGGGUGGAGAGUUAGUCUUGAAAAAGGCUACUGAAUAUGGAGCAGUGGAGAUAUGGAUGAAUGAACGUUUGCGAAGGGCUUGUGCUAGUAGCUGUGCUGAUUUUGUGUAUGGCUUUCUCGAGGUGCUGCUCUCUUUGCCUAAUGUUGCUAAGUAUGAUUAUAGCAGAGAUAAUAAGACAGCUUCAAGCACAUAUCUAUAACUUUUGCAAAUUGGAUUCAGAGUUCUUCAAAGAAACAAGCUGAAUAUUGGCUUAUAUGGCGUUUUGAAGGGGAAGCCACACUUGCUGAUUUAAUGCAAAGUAGGGAGUUUCCUUACAAUGUUGGUACCACUUCUGUCUCACCUUAAUUCUAAAUCUGUGAUGCAGAACAAAUCUCCUUGAUGGAAUUUUCAAGUAGAUAUAUUAUGAUGUGGAAAUCAUCUGUUCCAUAUGUUAUCCAUUUUGAACAUCACUAUGACUUAUUAUGUGUAUUUGCUUAGGUGCAUAUUAGACGUGCACAAUUCCAUGAAGGCUCACGGUAGCAUAUUUAAGGACAUAGCUGCUGGCCUAAAAAAGUGCCAACUCUUUCGUUUUGUAACUUAUAUAUUCAAUUCAUGACAUGAAUUAUAUGUAUUGUUACAUAAUGACGUAGGCCAACCAUUAGACCAUAGCUGUGCUUAUUGUUCCAUAGUGUAAAGCCCUAAGAUAAUAGGAUUUCCCUCCAAACAUAGCUGUGCUUAUUGUUCCAAAGUGGUAGAGUAACUGAUUCUUAAUAGAAACAAUAAUGUUGUAUUGUGAGGACAGAAGAGAAUAAAACUGUACUCUCUUCAGGAAAAAUUUCAUAGAGCUUGCCUGCCAAAAGGAAAAAGAUUAUAGUUGUCCAUAUUAUGAUGAACUGGUAGGCAAACAAAGAUAUCAUUGGUACCUCUCCAGGUACAGAGUAACAACGGUGGCCACAAGAACUUCUCAAAGUGACAAUUGUGUUGUCAGGACCAGAAGGGUGUCAAAAUACUAGCUGAGAUUGGUUUCUAUUAAUGGUCUUUAGCCUCUAUCCCAAGCUUUCAGUGAAUUGAAGGUGAAUUUGGCUACCUUUAUGAGUGAAACAGUAGAAAUAGAUUUCUAGAACUGCAAGAAAGAAGAAGAUUUACAAAGAAAAUCAGGAAUUACUGAAACAAGGAGCACAGAAAAGAAAACUUGGAAAUUGAAUGAGAAGUCAAAUAUUUGAUCAACUGAAAAGAAAUGUUUGCAAGUAGGAAAAUUCUUGUCCAAGAAUUAGGAAUCCGUUGUCCAGAUUUCCCCUUCUGGCACUCAAAGGGUAGAGCCUGUAGAUUGACUGCUGAAACUAUGAAUCCUGACUAGACACACAAGAUUAAGAUGGUGACCUCUCCAGCUUUGCUUCAGUUAGAUGCUCUAGAUUAGAAACUGAUUCCUUUUUCACAUGGCAAAGUGCUUCAUGGGUGGAUUUCUGAGGUUGAAAACUUUUCCAGUAUAUCCAGGUCUUUGAGUCACUUUUGUUGUAAAAUAUGCCAAAUGAGUCCCCCCCUCCCCCUCUCCUUGAAAAGAAGUCCUAGUUGUUUAUCUCCCUUUAACCUAUAUUAGCAAUAGGUUGAUCUAACUAUGGUUUUGUGUUCAUUAUCUUGUCUAAAGAAAAGGUCAAUGCUUUUGUACACUUUUUGCAAUGAGUUGCUGAGACGGUCUCUAUUUGACAUAUAAGAUCAAAUUUACAUUUCUAGCCUCUUCUGCUAACCUUAAUGAAGUUUUCGCAAACUUAAAGGUGGAAGCACUGCUUCUGGGGGAGGUUAACAACUUGCCUAAGGGUCUAGAAAGGGAAAAUCAAAUUAUCCAGACUAUUUUGGGACGGAUCUUGUUUGCAUUAGAUGGCCUUCACUCAACCGGAAUUGUCCACAGAGAUAUUAAGCCACAGAACAUAAUUUUCUCCGAAGGUGACUGUUUUGUGCCAACCUUAUUAGCAGCUCGCUUAAACUCUCUCUCUAUUGUUUCUUUCAGUUUUUUUUUCUUUUUCUUUUCAUUUUUCUUCAUUAAAUGUGAUGCAGGUUCUCGCACAUUCAAAAUCAUUGAUCAUGGAGCUGCUGCAGAUUUAAGGGUGGGCAUCAAUUAUAUUCCUAAGGAGUUUCUGUUAGAUCCAAGGUAGCUUUUCAGCUCAACAAAAAUUAAUCACUGCCAGGAGCAUGUUGGUUUCUUCUCUAUACACUAAAGUACUCAAACUUGCAAAUAGCUGCUGAUGAAGUACUAAAGUUUCUAGGGCAGCCUAAUCAAAUGUCAUUAUCAAACCAAUAAGAAAGUAUCAGUUAGUUACUCAUGAGAAAUCCUGUAAAAUCCUGGAUAUUGACCCAAAUCCUUACCUGGGGUCUUCUACUCAAAUGUUACCUUUUUCAUUAGGAAAAGAAAAUUAUGUUGAGCAAAGUAUCAAUCAACUUCAGUUAUCUCAGAUCAAAAUGUGUAAUAGUCCUCCCCUACACCAAAAUUCAUCCCAGAAUUAGUGGCCAUCUUGGUUCUCUUAGUCAUGUCAAAAAGCUAGGAAAAAUUCACGCAGGGAUGAGAGGGUUAGAAAAUGGAGCGCUACAAACCUCCACCCCUCCUUCCCCCAAAAACGACCUUUUUAGUCAUAGAGGAAAUGUUCUUCGUAGAAAAAGCCAACCAACCAUCAAGUAUACUUUGUUUUUGGGAAGGGAAGAAGAAGAGGGAAGGAGCGAAUUUUUGGGCAAUGGAACAACUUUAAAGUUGACUUCUUUUGUACUUUUGGAAGUCCAUCACAAUUAAGAAUAUUUUUGUUUUCGAUUUCCCAUAAAUUGCAAUAUUAAAUAACCGUUCUUACGUGACUUUCAUAACCAUUUGGUAUCAGGCAGUAGAAGAGUGUAUUUCAUACUAUGAACUGAUUUAGUUUGACAACACCAUCGAGUUGAUUUUGUUCAAUACGAUCCACAAAUUUAAAUUAUCACCUCAAGAAGUCAAAUACAUAAUAUCUGAGUUGAAGUUGUAAUAAGUUAUUAUCCCAGUAACAGUUUCAUAUUUGGAAUAUACAUUGGGACUGAAAUCAUUAGGAUUUAUUUGAUCUCUUUACGGAUAUUCAUUGAGCAUUAUCCAAGCUAACAGGAGCUACUUUCUUGAUAGGCUCCAAGCAUCAAUCUAAUUCCAUCAAUUAGAUUCACAUGAUUCCAGACUUUGGUUUAUUUGCACAACAUUAUUAUUUCUCAUUUUCUCCAGGUAUGCUGCACCUGAGCAGUAUAUUAUGAGCACUCAAACACCCUCUGCACCUUCAGUUCCAGUUGCAACGGCACUAUCUCCUGUUUUAUGGCAGGUAUUGUGUCUUCUAUGAAUACUUUCAUCUUCACGCCACUUGAGGUUGAGCGAUACAUUUGACUUACCCCUAAACAACAAUGUCUGAGCAGCUAAAUUUGCCAGAUCGCUUUGACAUCUACAGCGCCGGGCUCGUAUUUUUACAAAUGGUAAGUUAGCGAUACUAGUUAAUUAUGACUGUUUCUCCUGGAUGAUGUCCUAGGAAUGAAAGCAGUUACGUAUAGGAGAACAAUAUACUCUUUUCACGAGUAUAAAAAAUGGUCAAUAAGUAGUUGGAAUAUCCUUUGCUGAGAUUGUCAUUCUGUACUUAUUUUCACAUUGUCAUUGACUAACAAACUUCACCAUGUUUAAAAUUCAAACGGAAAAAAGAAAAAUCUUGGAAAGAAUUUUCUGUCUCUGUCUGCAUAUAACAAUGGCACAAAUAUAUGUAAAUCAUGUUUGAUAUUCCUUUUGAGGUUCUGCAUUUCAAAAUUUCCCUACAGAGAAGCUAACUCGAUCCCCAAGUGCGGCAUUGAAGUCUGAAACUAAUCAAGUAACACUAUGAUUGUGGUGAUUGAUAAUUACUGUUUUAUUGCAUUGGGUGUAGUGUUUGAUUGGCACUGCCUUAGUGACUUCCCCCUUAUUGAUGAUGAGCUCAUUGCCUGCAGGCAUUCCCUGGACUACGAAACGACAAUAGUCUCAUACAAUUUAACCGUCAGCUAAAGCGAUGUGACUACGAUCUGGUUGCAUGGAGGAAUACAGUAGAACCACGUGCAAGCAAUGAGCUUAGAAGGGGCUUUGAGUUGUUAGAUCUGGAUGGUGGCAUUGGAUGGGAACUUUUAACAUCAAUGGUUCGGUAUAAGGCACGCCAAAGAGUCAGCGCAAAAGAAGCUUUAGCUCAUCCUUAUUUUGAUAGAGAAGGCCUAUUGGCCAUGUCCUUUAUGCAGAACCUAAGGAUGCAAUAUUAUCGAGCGACACAAAAAGACUAUAGUGAAGCUCUCAAGUGGGUUGUUCGGCUGAUGGCAAAGUCAGGAACAGAGCAGGACGGUGGCUUCACUGAAGCACAGCUUCAGGAGCUCAGGGUUUGUAUAUGCUAAACUGCAUAUUAUGGAUUUUAGAAAUAGUUACACUAUGAGUUACAACUCUCUAUCUGCUUUAUGCAGGAUAUACAACCUAAAAAGAAGUCGAGUGCGCAAAGGAAUGCUCUUGCAUCAGCUCUCAAGCUGCAGAGAAAAAUCACAAGGACAUUAAAGGAGAGUGUUGAUGAACUUAAUCAAAGGCGAAAGAGCGUAUGGUGGAAUCGGUGGAUCCCAAGAGAGGAAUGAAAUUUGUAAAAAUAGUAAUUUGCUUAUGCAUGUAAAUUAUUUUGCAGUCCUCAACCUUAACUUCUCUAGCGGAGUAAAUGAUGUUUAAUAGAGAGUACAAAAGCAGAUUUUAUAUAAAAAGUAAUAAAUGAUGUUUAAUAGAGAGUACAAAAGCAGAUUUUAUACUGUAUAAAAAGUAAUGUACAUCAUUCCACUCACACUCGGAUUAAUCCUCUUGUAUGGUAGGAGACGUAUAAAAGAAAAUUUACAGAUAAUCGAUUGUCCCUUCAGUUUUCUGAUUCUGAAUUUCAUACCAUUAUCCUAAGGCAUGCAGAAACACACAUUAACCAAGGCCAAAGAUCAUUCCUGUUGCAUAAUUCAGCCCUUCAUUUCACUUUCUCAAUUUAUUCCUUUUGUAGUAACAUGGAUACGUAGUUCGUUGGAGCUACAAAAAUAGGCAUAUAGAUAGCAUGAUAAUUGACUAAUUAUUUCUGUCUUCCUCACUGGAAUGAAGAUUGUAAGUAGCUAUAAUACGUGUGCAUUCAUCAUUUCCAUAUCCAUUGAAUGGAGUUAGUAGGAAAUGGAACAUCAUAUACACAGUUUUUUCUUCUUUAAUUUCCUUAGCAUUUCUCUUAUUUGCCUCCUUAUCCUAAUCUUGCUUUUCUAUUAGUACUAGUAAUUUCAUCUUGCUUAAUUUGGUGUGUUCGGAAACAAAAAUUUUUCAAAUAUUAUUUUAUUUGUGUCAUAAAAAUAUUUUUCAACCACGUUUUUAUAUUUUUAAUUAUUUUUUUAUUUCACGUACAUCAUAUCAAAAAAAAGUGCUAUAGUGACCUUUCUAAAUAAUAUUUCAAGCAAUCUGCCAUCCAAACACACUACGGUAAUUUCAGUUCUGCCACGCUCCAUAAUGCUCAAUUAAAAAUCCUUUCCGGAUCUCAAGGUUUUCACAGCAUACCUGGGAUAUUUCCAGGCAAAAACUGUUAAGGAUGACGAUGAGCCAUGUUAUGGCAUGAGACCUAUCAUUGUGCCAACAAUGUAUUGACCCAUUGUGCUGGAUACGUAUGAGAGUUUCAGAGUUGUGAUAUACAAGUCGGAAUAAUUACAUAUCUAAGCUAAAACUUUAAGAUGAUAAAUGCGUAAAAAAAUAAAAAGGAUAAUGAAUAAGUCAAGCUAAUUCUCUGUUCAUGUUGUGUUCCCUACCAAUAGAGGAUAUAGGGCUUGUUUUCAAAUGAUUCUAAGUAAAUUAAAACAAGAAGAUAAAUGUUUUUAGCUUCUGAUUCGAAUUAUGAAAAUCAGAAGCAUCUGUGAGAACUUAUCUACAAAGAUUGAGGUUCUCUGGUAAGCUGACAACUUCAUCCCCGAACUUGCAUGGCAAUUCAUAGCUAAGUAAAACUUAAAACUGAGGCCAACGGUGACAGGCCAGAUAACCAAGAAUUGGUCACGUUGUUAGUUGAAAACAUUGGAAGCAAUUCUGACAUGCUUAGGAUAAGUAAUUAUUGUUCGUACAGUUAAUUAACUGUCAUCAACUCACUAUCAAGAAACCCUUCAGUCUCCACCAUCAUCCUACCUUCCUUCCUCUCCUGAGGGAACUCCAUUUAUGGAGAUUUGAUACGCACGUAAGAAUACAAAUCAUGCACUACUAUGCUUCUUACUACUGAUAUUUGUUUGAGCAUAAAUUAUUACCCAUUCGUGCUGGCUUAUGGCAGUUGACACCACAAUUAGAGUACUUAACAUAUUCAAAUCUGCAGAAGUAACGUCACCAAUAACUAAUUUACAACUAAGUACUAUUGCUUUGCGGAUGAACUAGCUUUUAAAUAAUUUAGGUGAAUAUACCUACUUAUAUAGAGUUCAAACGUUGGUGGCAGCAAUAAUUAACGAUUAGUAGCAUAAGAUGAUGUCGAGAAUAGCAGGAACAACAACCGUAUCAACCAUGAGAGCUUCACGUGUGACCUGACCUUCUUGUUCAGGCACACAAAAGUCCACUUUUUUAGCCCUUGACAGUACAACACACACCCCACCAUAGUCACUUCAAAGUAAGCCUGGAAGACUCGGAUUAUGGCAUAGUACAAGUUUCUUAAUCAGCACUGUCCCCCUCAGACUUGUUUUCUUUCUUUUAUUGAUAUUUUCCCCUUACCCAAUGUGGUUUUGGGUCAUAGCCCAUCGUAUGAUUUUAUUGGCAUUUCAAAGUUUUGAUUAGCUUUGGAUAUUUCAUGGUUCAUGAUCAUUUGUUGUUUUAUGCGUGAAUAGAACAAUGACUAUAGCUUACUGAGUCAUCCUGCAUCUAUUUUAAGGACCUGCACAUUGCUUUAUCAUGAGCUAUGGAGCUUGGACUCAAUGUAUCAUGAUUUAACCUUGACUCAGACAUAAUGAAAAUCCAUCAUGGCGGACGAAUUCCCCAUAAGUUAGGUCCAUCUACACGCUUAACAUAAGAUAUGAAAGGAAAAAUUCUUCACUAUGUAAUUGCUAUCAUGCAUUCAAACUCAUCAGUAGAAGAAACGUUUUUCUAUGGCAUAGCCUAAUAUCUCCAAAAAAAACUAAAGGAAAGAGCAAAAAAAAAAAAAAAAGAGAGAAAGAAAAACCAUGUAUUACACUUAGUUCAAGCUGACUAGAAAAACCAAUAAAACUUAAUGUCCAAGUCAAGGAGUUGGAGUGUGAACUGUUACAUUACGUUAUGUAAUUACUUUAUAUAAUGAAGUGUCAUGCGUUACAUUAUGUUGUUGCUUAAUACCUUUAUUUAUUUCGAGUGAUGAGUUUGAAUUGAAGACAGCUAACUAUAGACAUACGUGAGCUCAGAAACUGAGAAUGGCAGCUUCAAAACUGCUCAAAAGAAAGAACCCCCAAAACAAGAAAGUAAAAAAAAUCUUAAAUCAAUAGUUUAUUAGAACUUUAGGUUACUGAAAGCUGGUGUCCUUAGUGAAAUGGGAGGAACACGAGAUCAAGCAAGUGGGUUGGCUUUGCUUGGUAACCUGAUCAUCAAGAUUAAAUUAAUCAUUCACUUAAUCGAAUUUUGUGCUGUUUCCCCACUAGAUUUCAGCAAGAAAGGAGUAGUAGAAAAUUCAGCUAUGGUCAUUGCUUGGAAAUGUGGUUUCUUGGGUUCUUAAAUGUUGGUGCAAUAAAAGAGAAUAUGGCGGGGUAAUUGAAGGCUCACGUGAGGCUUAGUUUGACCGUUAUUUUGAUCCGAUUCCCUCGACAAGUAGCGUAAAAAUUCUCGUAAUUAAGCCAAAAUAUGCAGGGCAUACGAUGUUGAAACUUGCUUCCAUUUUUGCAAUUUAAUUCUCUCAAGCAUAUCUUUCUUUGAUCCCUUUUGGUUUUCAAUGUCAUUUUCAGAAUUUUCUAGCACAAUACUUUUUAUGGGUUCUUUGCCUUCAAUUUAUUUUGACAAAUUAUGACAAAAUGUUUCCUACAAAAAAUUCAAUGCCAUUUACUUUGAGCAGAGUGAUUUCCAUUGGAAUUGUUGAAGACGAUCCUGCAAAGUAAAACGGUGACAAGGCAUCUUCAUUCAGCAAGUUCUUUAAAUUUCUCAUUCAGGAUGUUUUUUUGAUACCCUUAGCUUAGUAGGGUAAAUACUUUAAUGCCAAUCCAAAUUUACAGAUACUCGUUGUGGUAGUCAACCUAAGAUGACUGAACCCAGAUAUGAUUUCUCCUGUUAAAGAUAUUAUUACAAAAAAAAAAUCUCAAUAAAAUUAAUUCGUUCUUGGGUCAAUUCAAACUUUUAUUGUUUGCAUGGCAUGCCAACUGUAAGUUUAGUGCUUCAAGAAAAAAGAAAAAUGGAAAUCAAAACUUUGAAUAUAACACUUUGUAUAUCAGUGAUCACUAUAGUGACCACUAAUGAUACAGAAGGCAGAAUUCCUGGAAAAAAUGUUGCCUUGAAGCCUCCACUGCACCCCAUUGUCAUACAUACUGUCUCCGUAACUCCCAAUUAUACAAAGCAACUACUGGAACUGUUGACUUGAAGUUGCAACCGCACCCCAUUAUCACACCUAUUGUCCCAUAUGAAUAAUGCUGAUGGAAAUUUUGCUGGAUUAGAUUGGGAUAAUUCAUUAUAGUAGGCUAUUAGGUGGUGCUUUACUUUACAUGUACGUUAGUUAAAAUGGGCAUUUUUUAGUAGGAUCCAACUGAGACCCUCACUUUGUCUGUUUAGGUGGAUCCGACUCAAAUAAGACAUGAACUUAAAUGAGUGUACCAGAAAUAUGCAGGAGAAGGGUCACUUUGACCAAAAUUAUCACCUCAUCAUCAACACUAUUGCAAGGCAGCUCAUAAACUAAGGAAUUGUGCUACCUUAUUGAAGUAAUGGCUGACCCCUUAUGUUGGUAGGUGAUGCAUGAUAACCAGAGUUGUAUAUAGAGAAUGACAUGGCACUAUGGCAUUGAAUCUACACUUGUACAAAUAUGCAUUAGUAGCGGUAUUUAUUUACUCACUAGUGUUUGAAUAAUUUUAAUCUUUAUUUUUUUUUCCUCCAUGUUGGGGGUUUAUAGCAUGGAAUCCCAAGUGGGUAUGGGACCCUUAUGGUACUGUCUGGUGAGCUAGGGGGCACUGCACACACCUUGAUGCCCCAUAGUUGGCUCUUUACUCGACCAAGGCAAGUUUGGACCACACUUGAAACUCCUUAUAUAAAGAGCCCUUCUUGCUCUUUGUUCAUCACUUCAAUUUCAGCAACUUCUUCAUUCAUCACUUGUGAGUUUACCUGCACCAAAGCACAAAGAAGAAAAAAGAACACUUCUUGCAAUCUAUUGUAGAGAAGAUGAAGAUGAGCAGCACAAACAUGGGAAGCUCCAAGAGAAGAAUUUCAAGCAGAGGACUAGGAGGGGUCCUAAGAGAGCAAAGGGCUAGGCUUUACAUAAUCAGAAGAUGUGUGGUCAUGCUGCUUUGCUGGCAUGAAUGAAGAGUAUCUUUCUAGUUCUAUCUAGCCUUCAAUAAGAAGGGAUGCUUGUUUUUUUCUUCUUCUUCUUCUUUGAUCAUCUUGGGGAGUGUAAAUAGCAAAGGCCGAGAUUAGUGAGAAAGAAGUUAACAAUUUUGUACUAAUUAUUAAUUGGCUUUAUGAGCCUUCAUGUGUAUACAGUCGGAUAGCUUAAUGGAUUGAAAAAAUCAUCUUUAUCAAUUCAUUGAGUCUUAGUAAUUCUUUUCAUUUUCUCUCCUUUGAUAUUAUGUGUUAUCAUUUCUGCUGUGGAUUUUUGAAGAUGGAGGACUAGUUCAUCAGCCAAACUUAAUCAAGCUAUUGUAGGAUGAGGACAUGCUCACAAAAUUGGGUAGCUGAAGUCUAAUUCACAUUAAUCUUUACCUUCUGGUGAUCGGCUAAUCAUCUUUAUUUGAUCAUUUCUUUCAUCAGUCCUCAUGGAGGUUGACUAGUUUAUUAUCCUCACAAUAGUUCACAUUCAUCGCAGUCCUCAACGUACACAAAAAACAAUGAAGAUAAUGAAUGCUUGGAUAUUUAAGCAAUAGGGAACUGGUGAUGACCAAAUUGGGAAGAUGUAUGAUCGGAUUCUUUAGUGCUAGCUCAAAGUUCAUAUCAACUUCAAUUUGCAGAUUUUUCUACUUGUAUUUUCGUACCUGAAUUAUUCGAAUAUCUGGAUCCCCAGAUUCAGAAUCAGAUGAGCAGGACUUCCAAGUUUCUUCCCAGAAAUUAAAAUUCAAAAAUCCAGAUCUUUGGAAGACUUUUUUAUUUCGUUUUAUUUUGGUAUUGGCAUUGGAUUGUUUUCUUUCCCGCAAGAAGUAGUACUAGUACUUACCUGUCGUCCAAAUUUAGAAGCUACCUAAGCCAUCCAACAAGUACCAGAGAAAACAAGGGUGGAAAAAUUUGUAUUCGUUUUAUUAGGCUUAGCCAGUCAGGUUAUAGCAGAUACCAUACAUAUUACACUUAAUUUUGCAGGCUUUUUUUUUUCAGAAAAGAAAGUAGUUGAUAUUUCUAGUAGAUUUAUGCUCUUUAUUUCUGCGCAUAAACUUGAAUUAAACUCUUGACUGGUGCAAACAAGUAAGGGAAAAAAAAAUAUAGAUUAUCUUUAAUUAGCAGAACAAUGACUAAACCUUUUUUCUUUAUAUAUAGAUUUUGAGCGAAUUAUUAGCAAAAACCUAGAAAUAGUAGUAUUAUUUCCUGCUGUUUUAACACUUUCUGAUUAUCAUGUAGGCCCUAUAAUCAUUUAAAGUGAUAAAUGUUGUGAUCUUACUUUCCUAGUUUCCAAUCCAGUCAAACUAUUUACAAACUUUUUGUACUCUCAGGAAAGCAGGUCCAAAAAAGACACAGAGUAUCUUAUAUAUUGCAAAGUAUGUUAUUACUUAAUUGUUACAUGCUUAAUUAACGAUUUUGAUUGUCGUCUUGUGAAUUGCAGGUGCAGCAAGAAAUUGACUUAAGACACUAAUUGAUAUAUUUCAUCUGUUUCUUUUGUCUGCUUUUGAUAAUUGAGGGUUUGGUAGCUACAAACAUGAAAAUUUAGCUAAUUAAGCUUUAAUAAUUAAGUUGGAGAUUAGUUAGUUUGUGACAAGGUAUUGUCUUGAUCAUCUUGUCUUCAACCAAACCUGCAUUAGUGAAUUUCAAAGUAUUGUAGUCGAAGAAAGAGAUGUUGGCCCAACCAGACAACGCCACUGACUCUUAUGCCAAUUAUGUUAAAUCCUGUGAUUAAUGAUUAUCCUAUCCAAGGGACAUUGGAGUCAAACCUUCAUUUCAUUAACAAUUGUGGGUAAGGGACUCCAACCUAAUAUUUACAUGUGCCAUGCAUAUUAUAUAAACUGAAUUAUUAAGUAGUAGUAGUAGUAGUAGAAUUGAAAUAAUAGCACACAAAAUUAAUUAGGAUAAACAGUCAGAUAUUAACACUUCAAACUAUAUAUGCUGAACUCUUUUUUUUUUUUUUUGGAAAACAAUAAUGGGGUCAUAGGACUAUAAUGUUCAGCGUGUCCCCAGAAAUUAAUUUAUACUGCUCAUCUUGUACGUCUAUUUUUCUCCCCCUAAAGUUGAAAUGAUUUCUUUUUGCAUCUAGCUCAAGAAAUCAAUAUAGUUAGUCUUAGGAAGUAGAAACUUGAAUUUAGUAAAGUUUCUGAAAUUUUCAGAAAGUAGAAUAAGUGUGCAAUAAAGAUGCUACUUUUUUCUCCAAUGACCCCCUAAAAAAACAACAAAGAAAAGAAAUAAAGAAAAAGAAAACAACAAAUUAAGAAAAGUGCAAAACAUAAACUUAAUAGUGUCUUGUAUGGAAUUCUCCUCAACCAAAAAUUUGGACACCGUUAUAAGCUUAUAAACAUUCUUGGAAUUAAUCACAGAAUUCAAGUCAUUCUCAUUCAUCCUUGUGCUAUUUAUUUUUCCUUUUCCCUAGAAUAAUCUUCUUGGAAGGUAUUCAUUAUUCUCUUUUUCUUUUUCCAUUUUCUCCCAAUUAUUCAGCUAGAGUUGGGCCAACAGGCGCUUAACAACAAAAAGAAAAACUAGUGCCAGAACCAAGCUGCGGAAAAAAACAAGAUAGGAUAAAAAGGAACAAAAUAUUUGUAUUUUAGUGAUCGUGAGGUGCCACAUUAAUUAGUUGUUCUAGUUGAAUUAAAACUUAGGUGAUAGUGACGAACUAAAAAUAAUGGAUAUCAAUUGUCCUGUUUGUUUAAUUUUUAGUAACAUUAUACACAAAGUCUAAAUUUCAAUCUGCAAAUUUACUAUUAAAAACUUGAUAUUUAUAAAUUAAAAAAAAUUAAUCUUUUUAAAAUAGCGUAAGUGAAAGGGUUCGAAUUCAAAAUCUCGCAUUUACACUCUUUUAUUUUUAAAUAAAAAAGAGUUAUUAUACUAGUGCUCUAUAUAUUAUCAAGAAACGUGCCAUCUAAAAACAUACAACAUAAGAAAUAUCGUUCAUCUUCUGUUUAUUGGAUGCCAAAUCAAUUAAAUGCCGAAUCAAAUUUUGAUGUAAGAUGGUUGAUGUUUCAUGUUUCUUGAAGGGCUUGUGAGAUUUAUGAUUAAAACGUCAACUUUUAUGUUUAAAUUCAUCUGGAAUCAAACUUACAGCGCGAAGCUUACUGCGUUUGCCAUUCUUGCGGCAUCAACAUGAUCUGAUCUGUGAUGAUGUUACUAAAACUGUUCUUUUCUUCUUUCCCCUUCAAAAGAAAAAAGAUCAUGUACAGAAAGAAAAGGUGAACAAACAAAAGUGCUGUACAAGAAAAAAUAAAGAAUGGCAAAUGGGGUGAAGGAGUUGAAACAGUUAAAAGUCCAAAACUGAAGUGGGGCAAAGAUUGUCAGGCUGCACAGGAGCUGAAUCGCUAAUCUAAUAUUCUGCUGUCGGCCACAUAACAAUUGCCAUCUCAUCUCGUCUCUCAGCUAAGCCAAAAUUGAGGUGAGCUCAAGAAAUGGAGUGAUGGAGCCAACCCCCGACACAAUGUGAUCAGUCAAAAUGGCAGCCUUAUCCACCCCCACGUGCAUUUUCUUAUCUUCAACCCCACCACCACCACCAUCCCAGCCCAUGAGGCAACCACCACCACCACCACCACCUCCACAACGACCAUGACCUCCCUCCCCUUUCAAACCCCCCCAGUCCCCACUCCCUGUGAUUCUUUUCUAAUCAUCAAAAAUCCCCAUCAAAGUGGUCCGCCCGCCUACCCCUCCCUAGGCAUAUAGAUUCUUCCUAUGUAGUACUCGUAUACUUACUUCCAGUAUGGACUUGGACUAACAUGCAUACAUCAUCACUGCUAAAAAAUUUAACCGAUAUAUCUUCAAAAAAGAAAGAAAGAGAGGAACGUAAAAAUUGUUUCAAGAUUCAGAUCAACUGCUAUAUGCAUGUAUAUAUGUAUGUUUGUGUGUGUAUAUAUAUAUAUCUUCUUGUACUUGGGAUGCAAUAGACGUUCAAUGCCAAUAUCUGACUAAGAUAAUUCAUAUCUCCUUCGUUACGUACGCUUGAAUGGAUGAUUGGCUUUGCAAUGGAUGAUAUAUCUCCCAGUUUUGGAGUCUAAUCUUAUCACCCGCCAAGCAUACAUGCUCGCCCGUUUGUAGAUACAUCUGGGUGAAUUGAUGCGUAGUUUUGGUAGGUAAGGUGAGUCAGAGUUGAUAAGAACAGCUGACUAACGAGUAACUGGGUGGAAUCAUAAUUUACGUAAAUUAAAUGGGUCAGAAAGGCAAUUAAAUGAUAGGUCUACGCGUGUCAAUAUUUCUUCCCCUCCCAUGCGACCCUUUGGCAUAGAUGCAAAGGAAGUGGAAAGCCUGGAAGGGGUUUCGAUGAGCUUAGAACUUUGGAAGGCUUUGGUGGGCAUCAUCACUUGAACUCAUUUCUCAAUUGUUUCUGUCAAUUGUGCCCGCAAUUAUUCGUUGUGAGAAAGUGACUACAGAUGGGAGCACAGUGGGCGCUUUCAUGCUAAAAGAAUGUGGUUUUGUCCACCUCCCAAACACGCCCCCCCUCCCAAAACCCCCCAUCCCUACAGCAAUUACCUCUGACUUGAAUAUAAAUUUAAAUCUAACAAAGAAAAUGAAGAAAAAAGGGAUUAUGUGAUAAAUUUCUUGUAAUAAAGAGUACAUGAUUACCUUUUUGCUGGUUAGAUUACUUUGAUCGUUAGUCAUGAGGAUAGUUUGUAGGUAGGUUUCAUCAACGUAAAGGGUGAUUUGUUACUUACCUCUAAUGAGAGGGGGGUAAUUGAAAUUUAGCCUGGAAUGAAAGGAAGGAGAAAUCAAUCAUGCAGAGUCUAUAUCUUUUGAUUUUUUAUUCUUGUGAGAGGAUUUAAUAUUGAGAAUCGAGAGGCCAAUACAUUGCGAUAGAAACAAGAGAAGAAGAAGCCAGAAGUGGUCCAUUUCCACAUGGAUUAAUUUAACUCUUUCGGACUUGUGGCAUUAGGGGUUCAGCCUAGAUGGUGUCUUAUUGGGACACAGCCACUCAUGCAGCUCUCUGCAUUGCUUCUUUCGGUGCUUUGAACUUUGAAGGCUUGCUUGCUUCAUGAUGGUCAAGACACUAAACUAUAGAUGUAAAAAAAAACACUCUUUUUUUCUUUCCAACCUCAAUGUCCUCCUUGUCCACCUCCAAUAAUAUAUCUAUCUAAAUCGAUCUGUGUGGAUGAUUGCUGAGAAUAGUAACCUUUUGCAUUAUAUGAUCAAGCGUCUGCGUGUACAUGUGUGAAUUAACUGUACUGUAGGAUUCGGCCGUGAAGAUAUAUGACAAAGUUUUGCAAGAUUCAAACGACUCAUGAUUUGAAGUUAGAGUAACAAUCAAUACGAAAAUGAGGGGAAAAAAAAUGUUAUUGCAUGAUUACGAGUAUUGAAUUUACGUGACAAGAUCCAAUUCACAGGGUCCCUCCAUUGUGAUGAAAACAUUGCAUUUCACCUACAUUUGCUACUAUUUGACAUCUACUCCUAACUCUUCUGCCCAGUGACUAGCAAUGGGGGUCGCCCUUCUUAACUUUGUUUUUGCUCAUAAUAUUUUAUAGAUUUUUUUUUUUUUUUUGUAAUUUUCUUUUAACUUGUCCUCCCUCCGAGUCCGAAGGUAUUGUUUACCUUACAUCUCUUGCCUUCUUCCCCUCCUCCUGUAACUUGACUUUUUGCCUAAAAAAUGUUAUUGUCCUUCUCUUCUUUAAAUUGCUGCCCAAAGUAAAAUAUACUUAUAAACUACCGCGUUAUGUCAAAGAAAUCCUUGCUAAUUGGAGUAUCUUUUUGUGCAUGUAUUGUGUACAAGUUAAUCAGUAAAGAUUGUCAAAUAGAUGGAACAUUGGGUGGGGUUAAAUCAGUUAAGAAAAUGAAAUCAAUAAAGUUAUGAACUUUCACAAAACGAUCAUUCUAGCUGAAGUUAAAACGGAUGACACAUUUAGUAUCUACCCUAUUCUGCACAUCAAUUAUUUUAUCUGCAGGAUAGGAAAAUCGGGUGUUACAUGGAAAUGCUACAACUCGUUAUCCAACUUGAAAAUACCAUGUAGAAGAUAACUUUAAGUUCACCACUUAAACCACUCUUUACUCUCAAGAAUCGAAACUGGUAAUCCUAACAUGGCAAAUAGUGUGUGCGUGUGUGCGUGUGAAGUAGGCAGAAGCAAAAGGGUCCUGGAAAGGUGGAACUGGAGUGGGCAAUGUUGUGAUGAAAAAGAGUGUAGUUGCUGGCACAUUUUGGUGAAACUGCCCUAUGUCGAGUGCUUUAUACCGCGUUCCUUCCCACACCAUCUCAAACAAGGAAAAAGAAAAAGAGGUACGAGACUUUCAGAUCAAAGUUUGGUGAUUCUUGAACAAAAGAGACACCUAAUUAUGACCCUGCCUCAACUUCUUUUUAUCUUGGAAGAAAAUUUUAAGUGACGAAUCAAAUGAGCAUCCAAAUCUUUAGAGUGCAUAUCAUCAUACUUAUUUAUUGUCUAUUAUUCGCUCUUAGAAUUAUGAUAAAAGAGAAAAAAAUUAGAUGAUCGUUCGUUUCCAAAAUUCAAUUUAACUCGUACGGACAUUAGUGUGAUCAUGAGUUUUCUCGUUCAACUUUUAAACCUUUUCUUUUUUUCUUUCCCCCGCUAAGUACUAUUCUACAUUUUGUUGAUUCGAUAUCUUCUUUAUUCAAACAAAUAUUUGGCCAGCUAUUCAUACAAAAAAGAAGAAGAAGAAAAAUUACUCCGGCUUGAGCAUGCUGCCAAUGUAGGAGUGGAGCGUGCAACAUAUGAUGUUCUACACCCCGAAAGUCCCAACCCCCACCCUUUGAGAGGGCACAAGGUCCACAACCGCACCCACCAGGCAGAGCAAUUACCAACUCUGCAUCCUAGAAUGACUACUGCUGAAACCGAUCAUGUUAAGGCUAGGACCAGUCGUUUCUAAAAUCCAUUUAUAGGCCAACCAUAAUAUGACCUGUAAGGUUCUUAGGUUCAAUGAAUCCUUCAUUUACGUUGAUGGGACAUAUGAAUCCAUCUUUGUUCCAAUGAAAUAAUGGUUGACAUGAUGCUGGAAUUCUCGAGUUCUCCGUUGAGUAUUCCAUUGAGGUAUAUGUACCGUAAGGUCCGUUUGGUUCAUGGGAUGACACAGAAUAGUAUUUUUAAACUAUGGGUAUAUAUAUAUAUACACACAAAACAGACAGGCGCGAUCGUGAGUACUAGAGCAUGAUCUAAUUCUUACUACAUCAUAGUGUCUUUGGAGUACAUUAGCCCUUUUUACUUUAUCUCUCUAUGAAGAAUAAAUUAUCCUUACUUAAAGAAAAUAAUGUCAGCAGAUACAUGGUAGUUUCCAUGAAUCCAUUUUUAGACAGAAAUUAUUGAGAGCUAUAGGGAGUUCAAAGUUUCAUGAGCUGCGGUGUGGUGCCAGAUUGUAUAAGGGCCCCAUGUAGCGAUUUUAUGUUGGACUGGUGGUUGGAUCUUUACAAACGGGUGUGAACAGAUCGUUCAGCCAUCAGUUCUUAAUGCUGUUCCUGACUGAGGGACCAAAGCCCAGAGUUUGCCUAACAAGGACAAAUAUCAUAGGCCCAACAAUGGGCUAUUUUUAUUUUUUAUUUUUAUAUUUUUUUAGUGUGAGUGGGAGGACUCCAACCAAGUUUUCAGAAAAAUUCCUAGACUUUCACAGUGGGGAUGUUUCACUUUUUUUUUUUUUUUUGUGAUGUUCCCUUUUUUUAUUUUUUUUUAAUGGGGGAUGUGGAGAAGAAGCAGGAAUGAAAUAAUGGGCAUGAAAAUAGAGAAAUUUGACUAGCAAGUGACAGUAAUCAAUUGUCUUAACUAUUGGACUAAGGUUUGAUGAUUAAAUGAAUUGUGCUCUUCCGCUGUGUUCCAUUUUGCAGGCUUCGUCAUCCAGAACUUCGAGCCGGGUAUAACCUUUUAUGCUGGAUCCAAAUGAGCCACCAUGACAUGUAGCUUUCUAAAUCUGGACGAAAGGAGCAAAAUUAUCUGUCUGGGUUUGUAUUCUUUUUGUUCUUUAAUUUAAGCCAACUCAGGCCCAACUAUGUUUCAUUUAUCACUCCUUCAAAGCAUGGCAUCAAAAGCUUUUGCUUGACAUGCAAAUGAGCUUUGUAAUGCCAAGUUUUGAAUGAACCAAGCAAUCAACAAACAAGUUCGUAUUUGCCUUGUUUGAGUUCGAAAAAAGUUUAAUCGUUUAAUUAAUCAAUUGAUUUCGAGCACAAAAUUAGACUCCUGCAAUAAUUUAGCCGUCCUCUCUUCCCCUCCCCUUCUGAAAUCUGGCCGUAUGAUUCGAUCGUGACCAAAUCUAUUUACACGACAAAAUCCGAUUGAAAAGGAGGACGAAAGUGUUCCGUUAAUCCUUCCCUCUUCCCCCCACCCCUCCUCGCGGCAUCACCUCCACUUUUCCCUCUCUCUCCUCCCUUACAUUCCCCCACCACCUUCCUUUCUCCACAUCGGUUCCUUUUCUCCUUUACCCCCGUCCUCCCUUCCUUGAAUCUAGCAGGAAUGAACGACCAGGUUGUGACCAAAUCUGGUCACACAACAAGAUCCCAUGGGAAAGGAGGGUGAGGGUGUGAGGAGAGGGGAAAACCAAAAUAGGGAACGUGGGGAGGCAAGAAAUAGAAGGUGAAGUGCUACAAGAGGAGAAAAGGUGGAGAAAAACAGAGGGAGGAUAAGGAAGGUGAGGUGGUGGAGGAGGAAAAAAAAAAAAAAAGGGAGUAACAGAGGAAACAGUAAAAAAUGCAAAUUAUAAAAAUACUCCAAAUAUAUUUUAAAUUUUAAAGACACGUAAAAUACAAUUGCACGGUAAAUUUUUACCAUACAAUCCUAUAGUAUAAUUUUUAUAAAAUAUCCCAAAAAAUGUCUAAUCCAUGCCAACCCAUAGGUCUACAUAUGAUGGUAUCUAUAAUUGUAAAUGAAGUAAAACUUGAUAACUCUCACCCCUAAAGAGAAGCCACCUUUCCAUUUUCUCCCAUGGUUAUUGGGCGGCAGAGCCAAACUUUCAAAACCAUGACCCUAAUCUUGGUCUUAUCUCGAUAAAAAGAGAGAAAAAUACAAAAGAAAAUGCAUAACAAAUAAAAAAAUGUCAGAAAAGCACAUAAACCACAUCACAUUUUAGUUAUGAUAAAAUGAACAAGAGCAUACCCAUCAAGUGACAAUUGUAACAGGUACAAGGAAGCUGUCAUACAAACUUACGUUCAACUGAGAAGCUAGUCAAAACAUGGGCUACUAUAUGGGCCUAUACAUCAUUCAAGUAUUCUGAUUCAAAAUGAACAUUUUUAGCAAGAAGCUUCAAAUUGACAGCCAAAAGUCAGUGGUCCUUUCUCUCCAUUCCGUGCUUGUCAAGUACCGUGCUCCUCAAUGUCAGCAGAUUUGUUUCCACCCCAUGAUAUAAAACUAUCCUGAGAUGCAAAUUCCUGCAAUUUGUUUCCACCCCAUGAUAUAAAACUAUCCUGAGAUGCAAAUUCCUGCAAAGCACUUGAAACCUUGAACUAGAACUAAAGAAGGUGAAGGCAGUAGUAAACUAACCAAGAUAAAGUAGACCAUUAAUAUAAUAAUAUGAAGCAGAGAGAGGAGGCUUGAACUCACAAGCUGGCUCAACCGGAAGUCAGGAGGUGUAUCUAGCUCCAG